UGCUGAUUGCCCACCAGCCUCCUCACUCUCCAUUGCUGCUGGAGAUUUGCUCCAUUUCAGGCACAAUUUAGUCUCAAACCCAUUUUUCAACCCACUCCUUUUUUUUUUUGUGACUCAUUCUUUUAUUUAUUUUUUUAUUUUUUUUAGAAGCAUAAAUAUUUGUAACAAAGGAGUUUGUGUACAGUGUCGAAAAGCUACAACUUCUUGUUAAAUUCACAUUUGCACUUCUCCUUUUUAAACAAGCAUUGAUAGCCAUUAUUUUAUACAGAUAUAGUCAUGUAAAUACAUCGAGUGCAGUGGUCCGUCAGCAUUUUCCACUUCAAUGUUUUGUUUUUUUUUUACAUAAAAACAGGUUAUAAUUCCAAAGUCCGGAGUUAUUUGAAACUGGAAAAUAUUUUCUCUGUAGAAAAUAGUAAAAAUGGUAACAUUUCCCAAUAAGCCCUUUUAAGCCAAAUAUUAGCUGAAUUAUACAUAUAAAUAUUGAUUAGAUUCUGGGAUACAGAAGAAACCUAUCUUCAUCUGUUCAGAGAGCUAUGUUUUACUUGUUGUAUAAGUGAGAUUCCUAUUCAAAUUCCCCUUCACUGUUUGAUUUACAGCAGACAUUUUUCUAUAGGCUAAUCCAUAAUCUAAAAAGAUUUUAGUCUCCCCUCCUUAAAGUACAGCCAGCAUCUCCUUUCAUCAGCUUGAUACGGUACAAAUUCUUAUCCUAAUAGUGAAAUGUUUCACUAAAGCACACCCAGUGAUUGGGCAAAACCAAAACUUAUUCUGAGCCACAGUCAUCCUAGGGUCCUCCCUGCUAGGUAGCCUCCCUGGAUCUGUGGAAUGUAGUCUGAUUGUCCUUUGCUUUAUAUCUAGAAUCCACUUAUGAGCAAGUACAUACUAUGUUUGUCCUUCUGAGUCUGGGUUACCUCACUCAGGAUGAUAUUUUCUAGUUCCAUCCAUUUGCCUGCAAAUUUUAUGAUGUCAUUGUUUUUCUCUGCUGAGUAGUAUUCCAUUGUGUAUAUGUACCACAUUUUCUUAAUCCAUUCUUCAAUUGAAGGGCAUCUAGGUUGUUUCCAGGUUCUGGCUAUUACAAAUAAUGCUGCUAUGAACAUAGUUGAGCAUGUAUCUUUGUGGUAUGAUUGAGCAUUCUUUAUUGAAUGCACAGACGCAGAACUAACAGGUACAGGGGAUCAACUGGCCUUCAUAGAUGGCAUCUUGAAGAAAUGUCUUCUGGGACAUGAAGAUAGCUCCACAGGGUAAGGAUGGGAAAGUCUACAUUCUCCCCUACCAAAUCUCCAGUCAAGACCAGGGCCAGAAAGAAGCCAGCUGCUGGGGGCUGGGAAGUGUGGGAAGUGUGCUUGUACAACCUCACCGAGCUCUGCAGACUAGCUCAACAGCCUCCGACAGCCCACUGGACCCCACUGAGAUGGGAAGGGUGACGCAUCAUAAAAGCUACAUACACGCUGGUGAAGGAGAGGCCACAGAGCUGCUAAACUACUUGUGACCUGUGUGGUCCAUCCUGACCGAGCCAUCACUGAAGAGGCUGAGAUGCUGUGCGGUUUUGGCCAACUCUCGAAGCCUGACUGUAGAAGCUAAACCCCGAUUCCCUGGGUAGCAAACAGUUUUGAAAUAGGAACCCGGAAGAACCACGUGCUUCCCAGACCUCUAGCAAAAGGGCCUGCUAUCGUAUCUGUUCUCCAUGCCAGUGUCUCACGUUCUCCUUCCAAGAUGGGAGAGAAACAGGCUCUGCAAGUUUGUAUUGUUGUUGACAGGCUCCCCUUCCGAAACUCCACAGAGGGUGGGGAUAGACAGUCCCAGUGAGAAGCCCUGUGCCAAACUCCACAUCCCCUCCCCCUGCCGGCCCCCACACCCAAGCUCCAGGCAGCCAUCAAGACAAGUAACCCAUGGAGAGGGUGGCAGGGACUUGGGUUUGAUGUGCCAGCCAUAGCAUCAUGACCCAGAGAGGUAUGACAGCGAGGACAGAGGCUGAUCGGAGAAAGGACCUUGCAGCCAAGUAAAAGGCAUAGAAAGAAGCUUACCUUUCUCCUUCCCACACGUUCUCACUCUAACCUUUUCAUCCUCCUCUUCGAAAAAUGCUUUAGGAAGAACGCAAUUUCUUUUGAUAUAAGGUUUGAGAAACAUUCGAAUGAUGCCCCCUGCUGCUUCUUAUGGGGGUGGGGGGUGGGGGGAAACAAAGGAUGCUGGGCAGAUCUCCUGUCAGGAGCCAUUGAAGAGAUUUAAAACGUCUCGGGGCCUCUGAGCACGUCCCGAGACACGGAUGUCAGAAAGCGGGAUACUGAGGAAGCAAAUGUGGCCGAGCAGCAUCCUGCACGUCAGCUAACACACGAACAGAAGGAAGUGCUACAAAGCAGAGGAAGCUGCAAACAGGGAUUGGACAAAAACGAGGGAUGCAAAUGCCAGUCGACGGCAAAGAACUAGGAAAGGGAACGAAGAAGGGGUUGGAGAGGCGGCUGGGUAGCUAAGAGCGCUUGUUGCUCUUUCAGAGGCCCCGAGUUCAGCACCAAAGUCAGGCCGCUCACAACUGCUCAUAACUCCAGUUCCAGGGGAUUCGGUGACCUCUUCUGACCCCUGUAGGCACCUGCAGAUAUGCUACACGUAUACAUGAGCACUGCACAGGCACGUACACACACAAAAUAAAUAAUUAAGUAUCUGAAAGUAAAUAAAAGGAAAAACUAGCCGGGUGGUGGU